GAAAACUCCCUUUCCAUUCACUUUUAUACCUUUUUAGUAAAGUAAAUAUACAUUUGGCUAUUUCACUGGUUUACGGAAAAUCUUCUUCCUUCAUAGAAGAAUUGUGGAAAAAGCCCCUUUCUUCAGAGAAGAAAAAAGAAGAUAAGGGUCGGCCACUUUGGAUUCCGCAAGAUUUUCAAAGUCAAAUUUCCUCAAGAGAAGAAAGCAGGAAAAUACUUUGAUUGAUAGAAAUGCCAGCUAAACAAAAGGAAGCUCUGCUAGAAUGACAUCGCGUAGACUAUUCUGCAAGAAUGAGUCGUCUUUCUCCUUCAAACAUGAUUCCAUUGCCGACUACUAGCUUCAUUAGAGACGGACUUUCUGCUCCUUCUGCCAAGAAACAACCAACUCAAUGUGUCAGUGUGUAUGAAAUAGGUUAGCAUAAAUUAACUUUUAGAAUUUAAAAGUAUAGCUAGAUAGUUAUUCACUAGACGCUCAUACAUUCAAUCUUAUAGGAUUAACAUCCGGAAUAUGUAAUCACUGUUCUGACUUACACCAAUCGCCACUAACUAUCAGUGGUCUUUUUGUACCAAACUGUUACAUUACUUAUUCCAUCCUUUUAGGUUUGACUCUUACUAAACUAGACUAGGAUUCUGUAGGGCGCAAAUCAACACCGAUGGGUUGUUAGACUAUCAAAUAACUACUUUGUAGUCCUUCUGUUUUAAAGAAAGUUCCAAACUGCAAAUUUUGUUAAGCUAGGAGAUUUUAAUAUGACCUUCCUACCUUCUAUUAUAGUAAAGGUUCAGUGAAAUUAGUUUCACACCAGUUACCUUCCGAGUUAAAAAGCCUUUACUUUGGUGUCACUGAUGAAUCCAAUCAUUUUCGUACUUAUAUAAGAACAUACAAUAACAUGUUUGCAUUUACUUCACUUGGAGUAAAGUAAAAUAAGGAAUUAGCAACAAGAACUCAAGGUAUCUAUACCUUUAAAGUUCAAGGACAGACGUACCAUUUUAUAAACAACCUCAUUCCCACCAAUAAUGAAUCAAGAAACUUAUAGCUUUAUUUUUGUGACAAUGAGAAUGAUAUGGUUAACAAAAUGGCCUUUUCAAAAAAUCUGAACAGAUCGGUUAUUGUAAAGUUGGUAGACAUUCUAAAAGUUAAUCUAUACUCUAUGUUUCCGAAAUCUUUAGCGGGCACUCCAAACCUGUCUAAUUUCUACAUCGCACUUAAAUGUGAUUCUUCCUUGUACUAACGAACAUACAAUUUACCCAAUGUCUCAGAAGUUGCAGCUAUGUAGGUUGACUACUACUCAAAUAAUACUAUGUUGACACCGCAUAUUCGAAUUUCCACCAAUGCAAUAGUAGCCAAUUGGUACGCUAUCAUUAUGGUUGUUAUGACCCAUUACAAUAUCCUUUGUUGUUUCCCUACGGAGAAAAUGAGUGACACUGUGGCAUCCAAAAAUUUGUGCAAAAACUAUCACGACCCAUUUUCACUAAGUCGUACGGGUACCUACCUUUCCCACGUUGGUAGGUGAACCCUUAUCCCAACAAUCAUAAAACACAAAUAAAGCGGAAGAAGAUAAAAUAGCGUAAGUCUCAAUGAUAAUAAUAUAAAGAAAUGCGGAAGUAAUGGGAAUCCAACUCCAGUAUCUGGUCUGGUCGUACAAGAGCAUCUACCAAAUACUACAAGUCUGAAUAAUACAUAAUAUCUCAAAAGAUGUCUUGAAAUGGAUAUAAGACAUAAAUAGUAAGAAGAGUCUUCAGGCAGCGAACAUCCUCAUGCUCACCCUGAAGAGACUCGAAUCAGUAAUCCUCGAAUAUCAACCACGAGGGGUAGAAGUAGAUCCAACCUGAUCCUCUGCAUUCAUAAAGAAUGCAACACGUGCGGGUCAGUACAAACAACAAGUAUUGGUAGGUAUCAUAGGCCGACUAAGACUACCUAACGUAUAUAAAGAUGACAAAGCAAGAUAAACAUGUAAAGCAAUAAGGUACAAGUUAACACGAAUCCAUAACCACAGUACAAGUCAUCACCUAUGUUAUAGAAUAUAAACCCAACUAUGCCAAGUAUCAGUAUAACAAUUCCGAACCACAGUAUCACAAUCAUAUCACAACGAGUCAUCACCUAUGUUAUAGCGUCUAAACCCAACUGUGCCAAGUCUCAGUAUAACCAUUCUGAACCAAUGUAUCACAAUCAUAUCACAAUGAGUCAUCACCUAUGUUAUAGCAUCUAAACCCAACUAUGCCAAGUCUCAUUAUAACUAUUCCGAAUAGUACAUCACAAUCACAUCACAACUAUGUCACGUAAAACCAAAAGGCACAAUGCUAUGCAAUGAAAUAUGUAAUAUGGAUGCAAUGCCAAUGCAGUCUUUGUACAACAUGUCCCGAACGGAAUACCUCCACGUCUCAAUGAUCUUGACCCAUGGGGAACCCGCGAAGUCCAUAUACCACUCGUCCCGGCAACAACCUCGGCGACGAGCACUCUCGAUCCCGACAAGAGACCUCAGGCAUCGAGCACUAAUUCAUUCCUGGAAAGAGACCUCGGGCAACAUACACUCAUUUAGUUCCGGUAAAUUAUCUCGAAUCACGGACUCUCAUCUUUCUUUUACGCUCUCCAGCAAAGACCUCGGAGGCUACACUCUCUCACUUAUCAUCAUC